rnacentral:rRNA from 1 species
UAGCUGAACGCUGGCCGGUAGCGCCUAAUACAUGCAAGUCGGACGGCUUAUAGAGGUGAGAGGCUAAGCCUCUCGCUUUGUAGACAGUGGCGGACGGUGUGAGUAACACGACUGCAACCUGCCCGAUAAUACCGGGAUAACCUGGGGAAACCGAGGCUAAACCCGGAUAGGCUCCUUAUUCCGCAUGGGAGAGGAGGGAAAGGGUGCGACCCGAUUACGGAGACGCCUGCGGCGCAUUAGCUAGUUGGUGAGGUAACGGCCCACCAAGGCGAUGAUGCGUAGCCGACCUGAGAGGGUGACCGGCCACACUGGGACUGAGAGACGGCCCAGACUCCUACGGGCAGGCAGCAGUAGGGAAUCUGUCGGCAAUGGGCGACAGCCUGACCCAUCAACGCCGCGUGAGUGAGGAAGGCCUUCGGGUUGUAAUAACUCUGUUGUUUGGGAAGAAGGGAAAGGGUAGUCCCCUUAGGUGACGGCUACCAAACGAGAUAAGCCUCCGGCUAACUACGUGCCAGCAGCCCGCGGUAAUACGUAGGGUGGCGAGCGUUGCUCCGGAAUGAUUGGGCGUAAUAGCGCGCGCAGGCGGUCCUUGUAAGUCUGAUGUGAAAGCUCCGCGGCUUAACUGCGGAGGCGGCAUUGGAAACUGGGCGGACUUGAGGCUAGGAGAAGGCGAAGUGGAAUUCCUGGUGUAGCGGUGAAAUGCGUAGAGAUCCAGGAGGAAUACCGAUGGCGAAGGCAGCUUCCUGGCCUAGGGCUGACGCUUCAUGCGCGAAAGCGUGGGGAGCAAAUCAGGAUUAGAUACCCUGGUAGUCCACGCCGUAAACGAUGAGUGCUAGGUGUGAGGGGUUUGCAACACCCUUCGUGCCGCAGUUCACACAAUAAGCACUCCGCCUGGGCGAGUACGGAUCGCAAGACUGAAACUCAAAGGAAUUGACGGGUGGCCCGCACAAGCGGUGGAGCAUGUGGUCUUAAUUCGAAGCAACGCGAAGAACCUUACCAGGGCUUGACAUCCACUCUGACCGGGAGUAGCGAUACUUCGUCCCUUCGAUGCUCUGGCGACCAGGUACCUGCAUGGUUGUACGUCAGCUCGUGUCGUGAGAUGUUGCGGUUAAGUCCUCGCAACCGAGCGCAACCCUUGAGCUUAGUUUCCAGCAUUGGGUUGGGCACUCCUAGGCUGACUGCCGCAGACGAUGCGGAGGCAAGGUGGGCGAUGACGUCAAAUCAUCCAUCCCCUUAUGUCCUGGGCGUCACACGUGCUACAAUGGCCGGUACAGAGGGAAGCGAAGGAUGGGAUCCGGAGCGAAACCCAAUUAAGCCCGGUCGUAGUAGGGAUUGCAGGCUGCAACCUCGCCUGCAUGAAGCCGGAAUCCGCUAGUAAUCGCGGAUCAGCAUUGCCGCGGUGAAGUCCGUUGAGCGGCGCCUUGCACUACACCGCAGACUG